UACGAAGGGGGCUAGCGUUGCUCGGAAUUACUGGGUGUAAAGGGCGCGUAGGCGGACAGUUUAGUCAGAGGUGAAAGCCCAGGGCUCAACCUUGGAAUUGCCUUUGAUACUGGCUGUCUUGAGUUCGGGAGAGGUGAGUGGAAUGCCGAGUGUAGAGGUGAAAUUCGUAGAUAUUCGGCGGAACACCAGUGGCGAAGGCGACUCACUGGCCCGAUACUGACGCUGAGGCGCGAAAGCGUGGGGAGCAAACAGG
rnacentral:rRNA from 1 species